rnacentral:rRNA from 1 species
UACGUAGGGUGCGAGCGUUGUCCGGAAUCACUGGGCGUAAAGGGCGCGUAGGUGGCGCGGCAAGUCAACGGUGAAAGCUCGACGCUCAACGUCGAGUCGGCCGUCGAUACUGCUGGGCUCGAGCACUGUAGAGGCAGAUGGAAUUCCGGGUGUAGCGGUGGAAUGCGUAGAGAUCCGGAAGAACACCGGUGGCGAAGGCGGUCUGCUGGGCAGUAGCUGACACUGAGGCGCGAUAGCGUGGGGAGCAAACAGG